AUACGGAGGGUCCGAGCGUUAUCCGGAAUCAUUGGGUUUAAAGGGUCCGUAGGCGGGAAUCUAAGUCAGUGGUGAAAUCUUGCAGCUCAACUGUAAAAUUGCCAUUGAUACUGGAUUUCUUGAAUUAGAGUGAAGUGAUUAGAAUGUGUAGUGUAGCGGUGAAAUGCAUAGAUAUUACACAGAAUACCAAUUGCGAAGGCAGAUCACUAACACUAUAUUGACGCUGAGGGACGAAAGCGUGGGGAGCGAACAGUAUUAGAUACCCGAGUAGUCC
rnacentral:rRNA from 1 species